GUGGCAAGGUAGACUAGCAAACAUGCCCAACCUUUACUCACAUUCGAGAAAACACUCCCAAUAAGAUUGCUUGCUCCAAAAUCGAAGAGGCACCGUCCUCCGAAUCUCGAGAGCCAGACUUCCAACAUGACUACUUUCUUAAAAAUCGAAGAGAGGGUAAAGGAACAGUACCAUUGCUGGAUAAUUGGAAAGUCCCUAUGUGUCAACCUCUGUGCUUCGUGGCAAGGUAGACUAGCAAACAUGCCCAACCUUUACUCACAUUCGAGAAAACACUCCCAAUAAGAUUGCUUGCUCCAAAAUCGAAGAGGCACCGUCCUCCAAAUCUCGAGAGCCAGACUCCCAACAUGACUACUUUCUUAAAAAUCGAAGAGAGGGUAAAGGAACAGUACCAUUGCUGGAUAAUUGGAAAGUCCCUAUGUGUCAACCUCUGUGCUUCAUGGCAAGGUAGACUAGCAAACAUGCCCAACCUUUACUCACAUUCGAGAAAACACUCCCAACAAGAUUGCUUGCUCCAAAAUCGAAGAGGCGCCGCCCUCCGAAUCUCGAGAGCCAGACUCCCAACAUGAUUACUUUCUCAAAAAUCGAAGAGACACUGCUCCCCGAAUCU
rnacentral:lncRNA from 1 species